CCUACGGGAGGCAGCAGUUAGGAAUAUUGGUCAAUGGCCGUAAGGCUGAACCAGCCAAGUAGCGUGAGGGAAGACUGCCCUAUGGGUUGUAAACCUCUUUUAUGCGGGGAUAAAGGUGUCCACGUGUGGAUGUUUGCAGGUACCGCAUGAAUAAGGACCGGCUAAUUCCGUGCCAGCAGCCGCGGUAAUACGGAGGGUCCGGGCGUUAUCCGGAUUUAUUGGGUUUAAAGGGAGCGUAGGCCGGUCUUUAAGCGUGCCGGGAAAUUUUGUGGCUCAACCAUGAGCGUGCGGCGCGAACUGGAGACCUUGAGUGCGCGGAAGGCAGGCGGAAUUCGUGGUGUAGCGGUGAAAUGCUUAGAUAUCACGAAGAACCCCGAGUGCGAAGGCAGCCUGCCGCAGCGUUACUGACGCUGAAGCUCGAAAGCGCGGGUAUCGAACAGGAGUAGAUACCCUAGUAGUC
rnacentral:rRNA from 1 species